rnacentral:rRNA from 1 species
AGGCGAAAAGAACCCCGGCGAGGGGAGUGAAAAAGAACCUGAAACCGUGUACGUACAAGCAGUGGGAGCCUCUUUAUGGGGUGACUGCGUACCUUUUGUAUAAUGGGUCAGCGACUUAUAUUCUGUAGCAAGGUUAACCGAAUAGGGGAGCCGAAGGGAAACCGAGUCUUAACUGGGCGUUAAGUUGCAGGGUAUAGACCCGAAACCCGGUGAUCUAGCCAUGGGCAGGUUGAAGGUUGGGUAACACUAACUGGAGGACCGAACCGACUAAUGUUGAAAAAUUAGCGGAUGACUUGUGGCUGGGGGUGAAAGGCCAAUCAAACCGGGAGAUAGCUGGUUCUCCCCGAAAGCUAUUUAGGUAGCGCCUCGUGAAUUCAUCUCCGGGGGUAGAGCACUGUUUCGGCAAGGGGGUCAUCCCGACUUACCAACCCGAUGCAAACUGCGAAUACCGGAGAAUGUUAUCACGGGAGACACACGGCGGGUGCUAACGUCCGUCGUGAAGAGGGAAACAACCCAGACCGCCAGCUAAGGUCCCAAAGUCAUGGUUAAGUGGGAAACGAUGUGGGAAGGCCCAGACAGCCAGGAUGUUGGCUUAGAAGCAGCCAUCAUUUAAAGAAAGCGUAAUAGCUCACUGGUCGAGUCGGCCUGCGCGGAAGAUGUAACGGGGCUAAACCAUGCACCGAAGCUGCGGCAGCGACACUAAGUGUUGUUGGGUAGGGGAGCGUUCUGUAAGCCUGUGAAGGUGUACUGUGAGGUAUGCUGGAGGUAUCAGAAGUGCGAAUGCUGACAUAAGUAACGAUAAAGCGGGUGAAAAGCCCGCUCGCCGGAAGACCAAGGGUUCCUGUCCAACGUUAAUCGGGGCAGGGUGAGUCGACCCCUAAGGCGAGGCCGAAAGGCGUAGUCGAUGGGAAACAGGUUAAUAUUCCUGUACUUGGUGUUACUGCGAAGGGGGGACGGAGAAGGCUAUGUUGGCCGGGCGACGGUUGUCCCGGUUUAAGCGUGUAGGCUGGUUUUCCAGGCAAAUCCGGAAAAUCAAGGCUGAGGCGUGAUGACGAGGCACUACGGUGCUGAAGCAACAAAUGCCCUGCUUCCAGGAAAAGCCUCUAAGCAUCAGGUAACAUCAAAUCGUACCCCAAACCGACACAGGUGGUCAGGUAGAGAAUACCAAGGCGCUUGAGAGAACUCGGGUGAAGGAACUAGGCAAAAUGGUGCCGUAACUUCGGGAGAAGGCACGCUGAUAUGUAGGUGAAGCGACUUGCUCGUGGAGCUGAAAUCAGUCGAAGAUACCAGCUGGCUGCAACUGUUUAUUAAAAACACAGCACUGUGCAAACACGAAAGUGGACGUAUACGGUGUGACGCCUGCCCGGUGCCGGAAGGUUAAUUGAUGGGGUUAGCGCAAGCGAAGCUCUUGAUCGAAGCCCCGGUAAACGGCGGCCGUAACUAUAACGGUCCUAAGGUAGCGAAAUUCCUUGUCGGGUAAGUUCCGACCUGCACGAAUGGCGUAAUGAUGGCCAGGCUGUCUCCACCCGAGACUCAGUGAAAUUGAACUCGCUGUGAAGAUGCAGUGUACCCGCGGCAAGACGGAAAGACCCCGUGAACCUUUACUAUAGCUUGACACUGAACAUUGAGCCUUGAUGUGUAGGAUAGGUGGGAGGCUUUGAAGUGUGGACGCCAGUCUGCAUGGAGCCGACCUUGAAAUACCACCCUUUAAUGUUUGAUGUUCUAACGUUGGCCCCUGAUCGGGGUUGCGGACAGUGUCUGGUGGGUAGUUUGACUGGGGCGGUCUCCUCCUAAAGAGUAACGGAGGAGCACGAAGGUUGGCUAAUCCUGGUCGGACAUCAGGAGGUUAGUGCAAUGGCAUAAGCCAGCUUGACUGCGAGCGUGACGGCGCGAGCAGGUGCGAAAGCAGGUCAUAGUGAUCCGGUGGUUCUGAAUGGAAGGGCCAUCGCUCAACGGAUAAAAGGUACUCCGGGGAUAACAGGCUGAUACCGCCCAAGAGUUCAUAUCGACGGCGGUGUUUGGCACCUCGAUGUCGGCUCAUCACAUCCUGGGGCUGAAGUAGGUCCCAAGGGUAUGGCUGUUCGCCAUUUAAAGUGGUACGCGAGCUGGGUUUAGAACGUCGUGAGACAGUUCGGUCCCUAUCUGCCGUGGGCGCUGGAGAACUGAGGGGGGCUGCUCCUAGUACGAGAGGACCGGAGUGGACGCAUCACUGGUGUUCGGGUUGUCAUGCCAAUGGCACUGCCCGGUAGCUAAAUGCGGAAGAGAUAAGUGCUGAAAGCAUCUAAGCACGAAACUUGCCCCGAGAUGAGUUCUCCCUGACUCCUUGAGA